AGUUCGAUCAUGGCUCAGAUUGAACGCUGGCGGGAUGUUUACACAUGCAAGUCGAACGGCAGCGCACGGACUUCGGUCUGCGUGGCGAGUGGCGAACGGGUGAGUAAUGUAUCGGAACGUGCCUAGUAGCGGGGGAUAACUACGCUGAAAAGCGUAGCUAAUACCGCGGUACGCCCUUCGGGGGGAAAGGACCUUUCGGGCUCGCAAAUUAAUAGAGCGGCCGGGAUAUCGGAUUAGCUAGUUGGUGGGGUAACGACUCACCAAGGCGACGAUCCGUAGCUGGUUUGAGAGGAUUAUCACCAGCCACACUGGGACUGAGACACGGCCCACCCUACGGGAGGCAGCAGGGAAUUUUGACAAUGGGGGGAAACCUGAUCCAGCCAUCCCGCGUGUGCGAUGAAGGCCUUCGGGUUGUAAAGCACUUUGCAGGAAGAAACGGCACGGAUAACACUCCGUGCAACUGACGGUACCUGCAGAAUAAGCAAUCAUUAACUUGCCGUGCCAGCAGCCGCGGUAAUACGUAGGGUGCAAGCGUUAAUCGAAUUACUGGGCGUAAAGCGUGCGCAGGCGGUUCGGAAAGAAAGAUGUGAAAUCCCAGAGCUUAACUUCUGAACUGCAUUUUUAAUUACCGAGCUAGAGGUGUCAGAGGGAGGUGAAUUCCAUGCAGCAGUGAAAUGCGUAGAUAUGCGGAGGAACACCGAUGGCGAAGGCAGCCUCCUGGGAUAACACUGACGUCACGCGAAAGCGGAGCAAACAGGAUUAGAUACCCGGUAGUCCACGCCCUAAACGAUGGUCAACUAGCUGUUGGGGUCUCGGCCGGUAGCGCAGCUAACGCGUGGGCUGACCGCCUGGGGAGCACGGUCGCAAGAUUAAAACUCAAAGGAAUUGACGGGGAUCCGGCACAAGUGUGAUAUGAUUAAUUCGGAUGCAACGCGAAAACCUACCUACCCUUGACAUGUCUGGAAUCCCGAAGAGAUUGGAGUGCUGCAGAGAACCGAACACAGGUGCUGCAUGGCUGGCCGUCAGCUCCGUGUCGUGAGAUGUUGGGUUAAGUCCCGCAACGAGCGGCAACCCUUGUCAUUAGUUGCUACGGCGAAAGGGCACUCUAAUGAGACUGCCGGUGACAAACCGGAGGAAGGUGGGGAUGACGUCAAGUCCUCAUGGCUCCCUAUGGGUAGGGCUUCACACGUCAUACAAUGGUCGGGACAGAGGGUCGCCAACCCGCGAGGGGGGAGCCAAUCCCAGAAACCCGAUCGUAGUCCGGAUCGCAGUCUGCAACUCGACUGCGUGAAGUCGGAAUCGCUAGUAAUCGCGGAUCGGCAUGUCGCGGUGAAUACGUUCCUGGUCUUGUACACACCGCCCGUCACACCAUGGGAGUGGGUUUUACCAGAAGUAGUUAGCCUAACCGUAAGGAGGGCGAUUACCACGGUAGGAUUCAUGACUGGGGUGAAGUCGUAACAAGGUAG
rnacentral:rRNA from 1 species